UACGUAGGGUGCAAGCGUUGUCCGGAAUUAUUGGGCGUAAAGAGCUCGUAGGCGGUUUGUCGCGUCUGCUGUGAAAACUCGGGGCUUAACUCCGGGCCUGCAGUGGGUACGGGCAGACUAGAGUGCGGUAGGGGAGACUGGAAUUCCUGGUGUAGCGGUGAAAUGCGCAGAUAUCAGGAGGAACACCGGUGGCGAAGGCGGGCCUCUGGGCCGAUACUGACGCUGAGGAGCGAAAGCGUGGGGAGCGAACAGG
rnacentral:rRNA from 1 species